UCACUGUAAUAUGAUCUGUUUUGCUGUUGUCGGGUGGAUCACGAUGCAAUUUUGAUUAGUAUCAUAGGAGAAAAAUUGCACGGUAUCCAUCUGUAAACCGCAGGACCUUUGUUGGCAACAUUCCC
rnacentral:pre_miRNA from 8 species